rnacentral:rRNA from 1 species
UACGAAGGGGGCGAGCGUUGUUCGGAUUUACUGGGCGUAAAGGGCGCGCAGGCGGCUCAUUUUGUCAGGCGUGAAAGCCCCGGGCUUAACCUGGGAACUGCGUUUGAUACGGAUGGGCUAGAGUUCGGGAGAGGAGAGUGGAAUUCCCAGUGUAGAGGUGAAAUUCGUAGAUAUCGAGAGGAACACCGGUGGCGAAGGCGGCCUUCUGGACAGUGACUGACGCUGAGACGCGAAAUCGUGGGGAGCAAACAGG